rnacentral:rRNA from 1 species
AUAGGUAACGUACCCCGGGUUCAGGAAUAGCGUCGGGGCUUCGGCUCCUUUGCGAAAGUGACGGUAAUACCUGAUGACAUCCCUUGGCGGCAUCGCCGAGGGACCAAAGGUGGGGACCUUCGGGCCUGCCGGCCUGGGAACGGCCUAUUUCCUAUCAGCUUGUUGGUGAGGUAACGGCCCACCAAGGCGACGACGGGUAGCCGGACUGAGAGGUUGACCGGCCACAUCGGGACUGAGACACUGCCCGGACACCUACGGGUGGCUGCAGUAACGAAUCUUCCGCAAUGGGCGAAAGCCUGACGGAGCAAUGCCGCGUGAAGGACGAAUUCCUUCGGGAUGUAAACUUCUUUUAGGGCUAAGAAAACAAGGGGUGGCAAUACCAUCCGGCGUUGAUCUAGCCCAGAAAAAGCCUCGGCUAAUUCCGUGCCAGCAGCCGCGGUAAUUCGGGAGAGGCAAGCGUUGUUCGGAAUCACUGGGCUUAAAGCGCGUGUAGGCGGUCCGACAAGUGCCAUGUGAAAGCCCUCGGCUCAACCGGGGAACUGCAUGGUAUACUGUCGGGCUUGAGGCAAGUAGGGGUGCCUGGAACUCUAGGUGGAGCGGUGAAAUGCGUUGAUAUCUAGAGGAACGCCCGUGGCGAAAGCGGGGCACUGGGCUUGUCCUGACGCUGAGACGCGAAAGCGUAGGGAGCAAACGGGAUUAGAUACCCCGGUAGUCUACGCCGUAAACGAUGCGCACAUGGUUCAUCGGCUUCUGAUGGUCGGUGGGCCGAAACAAAAGUGAUAAGUGCGCCGCCUGGGGAGUACGGCCGCAAGGCUAAAACUCAAAGGAAUUGACGGGGGCUCACACAAGCGGUGGAGCAUGUGGCUUAAUUCGAGGCAACGCGAAGAACCUUACCUGGGUUUGACAUGCUGGGAUUAGCUUCCUGAAAGGGAAGUGACGCGGCUUGCCGUGGAACCAGCACAGGUGCUGCAUGGCUGUCGUCAGCUCGUGUCGUGAGAUGUAGGGUUAAGUCCCCUAACGAGCGAAACCCUUGUCGCUAGUUGCCAGCGGGUAAUGCCGGGCACUUUAGCGAGACUGCCGGUGUCAAACCGGAGGAAGGUGGGGACGACGUCAAGUCAUCAUGGCCCUUAAGUCCAGGGUUGCACACGUGCUACAAUGGGGUGGCACAAACCGACGCAAGGCCGCGAGGCGGAGCAAAUCGGAGAAAACACCCCCCAGUUCAGAUUGCGGGCUGCAACUCGCCUGCAUGAAGUCGGAAUCGCUAGUAAUCGCGUAUCAGCUACGACGCGGUGAAUAUGUUCCUGAGCCUUGUACACACCGCCCGUCAAGUCAUGGAAGCUGGUAGUACCCGAAGUCCGCUUAGCUGACCCGCAAGGGGGGCGGCGGCCGACGGUAAGACUGGUGACUGGGACUAAGUCGUAACAAGGUA